rnacentral:rRNA from 1 species
GACGAACGCUGGCGGCGUGCUUAACACAUGCAAGUCGAACGGAAAGGCCCUGCUUUUGUGGGGUGCUCGAGUGGCGAACGGGUGAGUAACACGUGAGUAACCUGCCCUUGACUUUGGGAUAACUUCAGGAAACUGGGGCUAAUACCGGAUAGGAGCUCCUGCUGCAUGGUGGGGGUUGGAAAGUUUCGGCGGUUGGGGAUGGACUCGCGGCUUAUCAGCUUGUUGGUGGGGUAGUGGCUUACCAAGGCUUUGACGGGUAGCCGGCCUGAGAGGGUGGCCGGCCACAUUGGGACUGAGAUACGGCCCAGACUCUUACGGGAGGCAGCAGUGGGGAAUAUUGCACAAUGGGCGGAAGCCUGAUGCAGCAACGCCGCGUGCGGGAUGACGGCCUUCGGGUUGUAAACCGCUUUCGCCUGUGACGAAGCGUGAGUGACGGUAAUGGGUAAAGAAGCACCGGCUAACUACGUG